rnacentral:rRNA from 1 species
UUCGUAGGCGGUGCGGCAAGUCGGGAGUGAAAUCUCUGGGCUUAACUCAGAGGCUGCUUCCGAAACUGCCGUGCUCGAGUGCGGGAGAGGCGAGUGGAAUUGCAGGUGUAGCGGUGAAAUGCGUAGAUAUCUGCAGGAACACCCGUGGCGAAGGCGGCUCGCUGGACCGCAACUGACGCUGAGGAACGAAAGCUAGGGGAGCAAACAGGAUUAGAUACCCUGGUAGUCCUAGCCCUAAACCAUCAGGACUUGGGGUGUUUCGUGUACGCGGAACGUCCCGGAGCUAACGCGUUAAGUCCUGCGCCUGGGGAGUACGGUCGCAAGGCUGAA